GACGAACGCUGGCGGCGUGCUUAACACAUGCAAGUCGAACGGAAAGGCCCUGCUUUUGUGGGGUGCUCGAGUGGCGAACGGGUGAGUAACACGUGAGUAACCUGCCCUUGACUUUGGGAUAACUUCAGGAAACUGGGGCUAAUACCGGAUAGGAGCUCCUGCUGCAUGGUGGGGGUUGGAAAGUUUCGGCGGUUGGGGAUGGACUCGCGGCUUAUCAGCUUGUUGGUGGGGUAGUGGCUUACCAAGGAUUUGACGGGUAGCCGGCCUGAGAGGGUGACCGGCCACAUUGGGACUGAGGUACGGCCCAGACUCCUACGGGAGGCAGCAGUGGGGAAUAUUGCACAAUGGGCCGAAGCCUGAUGCAGCAACGCCGCGUGCGGGAUGACGGCCUUCGGGUUGUAAACCGCUUUCGCCUGUGACGAAGCGUGAGUGACGGUAAUGGGUAAAGAAGCACCGGCUAACUACGUG
rnacentral:rRNA from 1 species